AACCCUUGUUUUACAUAUCAGUAGUAUGUUACUGAGAAAUAAAAAAUGUUUACGAAUGUUGAAACAAUUGCAAACAAAACGUUCCAUCAAUUGAUGGCAUAUUAACCAGUAGAUGCACACACAAUGUUGGAGGUCAACAAUAUUUGGUUAUGUUCGGCCCUCUUCCUUCCAUUGACAAACGAUCGAGCAACACCGUAGAAAAUGAAUUUUCAACUGUUGUUUAUAAGAAAUCGUAAAAGAGAGAGAGAGAGAGAGAGAAAGAGAGAUAGAUAGAUAAAGAGAAAAAGAAGAAGGGAAAAAAGAAAGAAAGAAUCUAUAUAUGUAUCAUUGAAUCGAUCUUCUUCGUUUACAUAUUUAACGUAAAAAAAAAGAAACAAAAAGAAAAAACUUAUUAAUUAAACUUCGAUUGCGCACGUUAAAUAUCUUGUACAUAUAUAUAUGUAUAUAUAUAUAUGUGUGUAUAUAAAUAUAUAUAUAUAUAUAUAUAUAUUUGUUUAUAUCUUUUUCUUCUUUCUAUCUAUCUAGUGAUUCCUUAGGCUUGUAAGGGGGGCUUUUUUAACGUAUAUUUAAGUUAGAUCGAAAUUCGUUAAGUACCGUGCGAAUUAUUAUUAUCUCUAAUAAUAAUGAUGAUGAUAGACCAUAUAUCGUCCAAUCGGAAUAAACUUGAGCUUUCUUCUUAUAUACGUGUUACACUAUUAAACAAAUGAUUUUUCUUUCUAUAUAAUUUCUCACGCACGAAUAAUAAUAUUUAUCGAUAAUAACAUUAGAAAAGACAUGUCAGAUGUGAGAGAAGCAAAAUGGCGAUCAACGCGUACACGAAACUAUCUUUGUUACGAAUAAUCCAUGAAAACGUUAUUAUAUUACUCCUAAACUCGACGUAUCAGCGUUCUUUGUUUAUGCCCAAUGAUUACUUAUUUUUACAUUACUAAUAUUACUAUGUUAAUAUUUGAUUAUUCGUUUAAUAUUCGAUUAACUUACAAGAAUGUUUACCUCAUUGUUACUUAGUCUAACAUAACCUAACAAUCGAAUAUAUAUUUUCUUUUAUUUCUUUCGAAUGAAUCCUUCAUUCUUUUAUUUUCUUUUUGGUAUUUGUUUUGUUUUAUACCUCU